UUGGAGUCUUUGCUCCCCCACAAAACUAAAUAGGCCCCAAACAAGGGCUUCUCGUGUCGUCCACUUGGAUUGUCCAUAUGGUGUCGACCCAGUCCAUAUAGAUGGGCAUAUUCAAGCUCAGAAAAGUUGUAUUUUGAUUAGGAGUUUGUUUUAGAACCUGUUUCUUGAUUCAGAUUUGGUUCCAUAACCUCCAUUAUCUCCCUAUCUUUUUUGAAUAUCCCAAACUACUAUACUAGCUUGUUUAGGACUUCCUAGGAGUACUGGUACUACUCUUAUGGAGCAGAUUGAAUUCGUCAUUACAUAACUUGAAAGGUUUAUGAUUCCCAUGUUUGAUGAACAUUUGGAUCUAGUGGUGAGCAAUCUAGUAAACUAGAUUAAUUUUUGUAGUGCUGUUUAAUUGAUACCAGAAAUGCCAAUUAGUUAACUACAACAAGAAAUGCUUAGCUUUAGAUGCCGAGACAAAAAAAAAAGUUAUUGAUUUUACAUUUAUUAACUUACGGAAGUUUUAUCAUUUAGGGAAUGAAAUGUUCUUAAGUACUUGUCAAUUUCAAGUUAAUAAUCAUCAUAUUGAAACCACUAGUUGGUUUUAAUUUUAUGCCUUAGACAUGGAGUAAAAAUGGCUCAAAUUAAUAUGAGACUGAGUAUGCCUUAGACAUGGAGUAAAAAUGACUCAAAUUAAUAUGAGACUGCAUAUUCUGUGGAACGAGGUUGUUAACAUUUUAAAGGUAUACAAAGAGGUGAGAAGCAAACGCAAAACACUCCAUGUCUAUUUUAAGUCACUAAUGUUUUUUAGUCCACUCAAACAACCAAAGGCUAAAGCUGAUGCAUGGUGGAUUGGACAAGGUAGAUAAACUACCUGUUGAGGUUCUGAGUUGUAAUGAUUGCUAUUUAGACCAAGUAAGGAAAAAUAGAUUCUGUCUUUUCUUUUUGUAUUUAUGCUUAAUCAUGCUACUUCCAAUCUGGACUUGAUAUUAUUUAGGCCAUAGAAAUUGUUGCUACAACAACAACAACGAAGCCGAAAGCAACAUAGAAAUUAUUGCUAGAUUACUCUUAAUUGCAUCACAUGUAUGUGAUUUCAAAUAAGUGACUCCAGGUGUGUUUUGAAAUAUGACAAAGCCAACAAGUACAAGAAAUAUUAAAUCUGCAUAUUGGAGGAUUGCAUCAUGUCUCCUGUUUUUGGAAUAUGCAGUCAAAUGCAGCAAGUCUUAGCGAAAGAAUCUACGGAUUAUAUCAUGUGUAGUUCAUACUUAAAAAGCAAGAUAGUAGAAUUUUCCUUGUGGUGAACUGCAGAUCAUUGUUCUAUUAUAUUUUGUGUGGUCAACUAAGAUAAAGCGACGAGGUUGGACAAAAUCUGCAUUUCAUUGUAGGGAAUAAAGCUUGUUUGUCAAGGACUUAUUUCCAGGAUGUAAAAAUUACAUAAGUGCAGGCUCUUCAGUUUUUGAAGUUAAUUU
rnacentral:lncRNA from 1 species